rnacentral:tRNA from 1 species
CUCUGGGUAGCUCAGCUGGAAGAGUGUCAGACUGUAAAUCUCAAUGUCACUGAUUCGAUCUCGGUCCUGGAGA